UGGGGAAUUGUUCGCAAUGGGCGCAAGCCUGACGACGCAACGCCGCGUGGAGGACGAAGAUCUUCGGGUCGUAAACUCCUUUCGAUCGGGACGAAUGGCCGGCGACCUAACACGUCGUCGGAGUGACGGUACCGAGAGAAGAAGCCCCGGCUAACUCCGUGCCAGCAGCCGCGGUAAUACGGGGGGGGCAAGCGUUGUUCGGAAUUACUGGGCGUAAAGGGCGCGUAGGCGGCCUGCUAAGUCACACGUGAAAUCCCUCGGCUCAACCGAGGAACUGCGUGUGAUACUGGCGGGCUCGAAUUCGGGAGAGGGAUGUGGAAUUCCAGGUGUAGCGGUGAAAUGCGUAGAUAUCUGGAGGAACACCGGUGGCGAAGGCGGCAUCCUGGACCGAGAUUGACGCUGAUGCGCGAAAGCUAGGGGAGCAAACGGG
rnacentral:rRNA from 1 species